AUUGAACGCUGGCGGCAUGCCUUACACAUGCAAGUCGAACGGCAGCACGGGUGCUUGCACCUGGUGGCGAGUGGCGAACGGGUGAGUAAUACAUCGGAACAUGUCCUGUAGUGGGGGAUAGCCCGGCGAAAGCCGGAUUAAUACCGCAUACGAUCCACGGAUGAAAGCGGGGGACCUUCGGGCCUCGCGCUAUAGGGUUGGCCGAUGGCUGAUUAGCUAGUUGGUGGGGUAAAGGCCUACCAAGGCGACGAUCAGUAGCUGGUCUGAGAGGACGACCAGCCACACUGGGACUGAGACACGGCCCAGACUCCUACGGGAGGCAGCAGUGGGGAAUUUUGGACAAUGGGCGAAAGCCUGAUCCAGCAAUGCCGCGUGUGUGAAGAAGGCCUUCGGGUUGUAAAGCACUUUUGUCCGGAAAGAAAUCCUUGGCUCUAAUACAGUCGGGGGAUGACGGGACCGGAAGAAUAAGCACCGGCUAACUACG
rnacentral:rRNA from 1 species